rnacentral:rRNA from 1 species
UGAGUAACACGUGGGCAACCUGCCUGUAAGACUGGGAUAACUCCGGGAAACCGGAGCUAAUACCGGAUACUAUGUCAAACCGCAUGGUUUGACAUUCAAAGACGGUUUCGGCUGUCACUUACAGAUGGGCCCGCGGCGCAUUAGCUAGUUGGUGAGGUAAUGGCUCACCAAGGCGACGAUGCGUAGCCGACCUGAGAGGGUGAUCGGCCACACUGGGACUGAGACACGGCCCAGACUCCUACGGGAGGCAGCAGUAGGGAAUCUUCCGCAAUGGACGAAAGUCUGACGGAGCAACGCCGCGUGAGUGAUGAAGGUUUUCGGAUCGUAAAACUCUGUUGUCAGGGAAGAACAAGUGCCGGAGUAACUGCCGGCGCCUUGACGGUACCUGACCAGAAAGCCACGGCUAACUACGUGCCAGCAGCCGCGGUAAUACGUAGGUGGCAAGCGUUGUCCGGAAUUAUUGGGCGUAAAGCGCGCGC